UAAGACGUAGGAGGCGAGCGUUGUCCGGAUUCAUUGGGCGUAAAGAGCGCGCAGGCGGCUUGGUAAGUCGGAUGUGAAAAUCCGAGGCUCAACCUCGGACGUGCAUCCGAUACUGCUCGGCUAGAGGUAGGUAGGGGAGAUCGGAAUUCCUGGUGUAGCGGUGAAAUGCGCAGAUAUCAGGAGGAACACCGGUGGCGAAGGCGGAUCUCUGGGCCUUACCUGACGCUCAGGCGCGAAAGCUAGGGGAGCGAACUGGAUUAGAUACCCAGGUAGUCCUAGCUGUAAACGUUGGGUGCUAGGUGUGGGCGGAUAUCGACCCCGUCCGUGCCGAAGCUAACGCAUUAAGCACCCCGCCUGGGGAGUACGGCCGCAAGGCUA
rnacentral:rRNA from 1 species